CGAUCCUUCUGGAGCAAACCCUCAAGCAGCUCCCGACCCGAGUUUGACACGUUGGGUUUGAGCACAGGAACCUUGUGCAGGAUGUUGUUGUACAUCUCAGCUGUGUUGCGACUGUAGAAGGGAGGCUGUGGCAUGGAAAGGAAGUUGUUGACUUCAACGCUGAAAGAAAGACCACAGUGAUACAUUUCAAAGGCAUUCUUGACGUUCCAAGCACACACACCCUCGUCGCUGUGGAGUGAAUGAACUGUCUGCUACACAUCGACAGGUCAAGUUUACGCCAGGUGCCGCAGCGUUAACCUGUCUGAGAAAAAGCUUAAGCGGCUGACCCGUGACAAGGCAGCUCUGGAAGGACUCCGCCACUUGCUCCUUUAGAGCAUUUCAAGGACACGGACUCCGCCCUUUGCUAUUUCCUUCUAUACCAGACCCAAAUCUGAAAGUCUACGCACUACUUUAAGCAAGUGCGAUGGUCCAAACCACCUUUUGUUUUAAUUUGAUUAUUGGUUUAUCUCGUGGAUGCCAGGGACUUUCUGGAAAGGUGAUUAAGCAGUGGGGCGGUUAUUCCAAGCACAUCACAAAAGGCCUAUUCUUACACUGGCUUCUUGGACCCAGAUUAAGCUUCGCACAGAAUGUCCUACCCAAUUCAGGUGGCAGAUUAGAUCGCCCAGUGAUCCGAAUGGGCGAGUGGUCAGAAAUAACAACAAAAGCUCUGACAUGCCAAUUGUGCCUAAUUGUGAUUUCUAUUCAAACCAUGAAAGAGUUUGUUUUAUAGUACAA